UACGUAGGGGGCAAGCGUUGUCCGGAAUCAUUGGGCGUAAAGAGCGCGUAGGCGGUCCGGUAAGUCCGCUCUGAAAGUCCGGGGCUCAACCCCGGGAGGCGGGCGGAUACUGUCGGGCUAGAGUCCGGAAGAGGCGAGUGGAAUUCCUGGUGUAGCGGUGAAAUGCGCAGAUAUCGGGAAGAACACCCGUGGCGAAGGCGGCUCUCUGGGACGGUACUGACGCUGAGACGCGAAAGCGUGGGGAGCGAACAGG
rnacentral:rRNA from 1 species